GCUGAGCCUGAACAAGAAAUCCUGGGACAGGAAGGUGGAGGAGCUGGAAAGGAAACCCUGGAAGUUGAGAAGAUGAAGGAAAGCUCUUAGGGGCAAAGAGACUCCUGGGCACUGACAGUCAAAAGGCGAAGGUUUAUGGGUGGACUUGGGACUGGAGUACCUGGAAAAGGGGUGUAGAACCAGAGGGCUGAGUUGCAAGAAGAGGUGACCCACCCCUGGACAAGAGCAACUGGGCUAUGCCAUAUCUAGCCCCCAGAGACGGAGCUCCUCAGGGCAUACCCUGCCUUCUUUCCUGUUUGCAAAAAUCUAGCGCACUAUGAACGCUGCUGGGAAUAAAUAACCUGAUGUCCUGAUUUACCAUCUCAUUGCAGAAUAAUACGCAUUGAAAGGUUUAGCUGCAGUUCAAUGUAGUUUGCCUUCCCUCCUUGGUGCUCUCUCAUUUAAAACCUAACAAGGUUGUGCUUAGUCCUGUCCAGAUUCUCCCCUGCUUCAAUUUUAACCACUUUAUUACUUAAUCAAGCACCGUACCACUUCAUUCCUAGUCUGUUACACUUAUUGAAUUUAAAAAAUGCAAUCCUAUGCCAAAUGCACAAAUAUAUUCCCAGGCUUAUUGCCACAAAUGGUCUUUCUUUGCAUUAUUCUAAAGAGAAAAUCUGCCAUUACUAAGAUAUUUGGCUACUUUGUAGCCAUUUUUAUUGGCUCUGUUAUUUCACAGUCCAGUUACUCUUUGCCUAGCUGUCCGAUAACAUAUUCCUGUAAAUAGCUCUUGCAUUUGUAUGCAACCAUUAUCAUAACCUUCUCU